rnacentral:rRNA from 1 species
UACGGAGGGGGCGAGCGUUAUUCGGAAUUAUUGGGCGUAAAGGGCGCGUAGGCGGCUUGACAAGUCAAAGGUGAAAUCCCUCGGCUCAACUGAGGAACUGCCUUUGAAACUGUCUGGCUUGAGGCCGGGAGGGGGUAGCGGAAUUCCCAGUGUAGCGGUGAAAUGCGUAGAUAUUGGGAGGAACACCAGUGGCGAAGGCGGCUACCUGGACCGGUUCUGACGCUGAUGCGCGAAAGCGUGGGGAGCAAACGGG